CCGCCAUUUGUCAGUGUAAAUAUGAAACUGUGUCUGCAAACGAGCUCUCCCAACAGGAACUACAGUUGCUUCUUUAUGUCAGUUUGUACUUAAAUGUGAUCAAUAAUCCAAUCAGAGAGAUUUCCUUUAAAUUGCAGUUUACCAGCUUUAUUGAGACUGUCCGUCUCUUAUUUUGAAAGGAAGUAUAUUAAGCACAGCGUUAGUUCAGGCAGGCCAUGAACCUAUCUUUGCUGCUUUCUCUACAAGCCGUUUUGCAACCCACCUCCACCCCAGCUCCUCCUUUUAUGUUGUUUUUAUGUUAUGGGCACAAAAGAAAAACAUAAAAUGGAAAACUAAAUUAUAUUCACAAGAAAGAUUGAGACACAUAAAUAAAUAUACAAAAAAUAAGAGCCAAUCACUGGAGGAGCAGCUGAUCUUCUUACAGGAGAAAUGAUGGAAAGGAGGAUUUCUGUUGUGUGCACAUGAAUGAUUUGUGUUUCCUCUCCAGAUCAAAGUGUGUGUGAGCUGAUGUGGAUGUGAGUUGAGCAGCAUGAGUCAGUGUGAGGACAGAGAGGAGGGAGUCCCUCCCUCUAAGAGGACUCGGUGGGGGGAACAUGACAUAAGGACCAAAGCUCAGAGCCCAGAGCAGCAGAACACAGCAGACUCUGCUGGACCUGGACCUGAACCUGAACCUGGACCUGAACCUGGACCUGGACCUGGACCUGGACCCAGCUGUGUGUCCUUAAAGAGCAACCGGUCAAAUGAUCGCAUCAUUCAUUUUAAAGGACGACAACCCUCUGCUACAAAGAGGCACGCUGCCAGUGGGGUGAGGACUGCAGCGUGGCCUCAUCUUAUAUUUUGUUUUGUACACUUUACAACAUUCACACACAUUAUCCCUCAUGCACACCUUACACUUCAUAAGUUGACUUUUUGUUCAAUAAAUUACUUUUUGUUAUUCCUUAAAGUGGUGUAUCUCUCAUAUUUGUCAUGCCUUAAGAGCCAACAAGGACUCUUAAGUACAUGGGACACCUGCUUUACCUGGUGAGCUACCAGGGUGCCCCUAUACAAGUUUCUUUUGACUCACUACCAAUCCUUACUGGAAAGGUAGCAUCCAAGAAGCUGCAGUGAGCAUUUCUGUCCACAGUAUUAAACCAGACAACUUGGUGAACCAACACAGUAAACUGAAAGCUGGACAAAAAUGCAGACUGGACAGAACUGUUAAUUCUCAGUGGGAUUAGUACUAUGACCAACAGUUAAAUGUCAGGGGAAAACAUCUGAUUCAAUGUUGUAAUCAACAAUUUAACUCAAAGGACCUUUACCUUGUGUUUUAGGUCUCUUGUAGUUGGAACUAGGACAAUUAAGUUAGU
rnacentral:lncRNA from 15 species